rnacentral:lncRNA from 1 species
ACCUAUCCUGGGCCCAGACCUGGCCCAUAAAGAGUUGGUCCCUUGAGGCCCACAUAACCUAGACCUCAAGAACCAGAAAGGCCCACAGCCUUUCAACCUAGGGCCCAACUAGCCCUAGAGCCUCCAUGAAGCCCUCAUGAAUGAUGGACCUUGGCCUUAGUCUUGGUCCCCUGAGCCUUGGGUACACCACCUGGAUCAUAAUAGUUCGGACGGGCUUCGGUUCUCGCGAGAGGUCGAAAGGGGGCUGUUUAUUGUAGGAGCUCGGGCGAGGACCAGUUGUCAUGGAAGCUCGGAGUAGCGUCUCAUGUAGAAGUUCAUCUAGAGCCCACUCGCUACGGAGUAGCUUGGCUGGAGUCUACCUGCAACAGA